AAUGAUUUCUUGCAGGCUAAAAGACAACUGGUAACAUGCAGCUCCCCAGAAAGCAGAAGUUCAAAGACUGUGACCUUCAGCUCCACUUACAACUAAGGACUUUUUCUCCAUCCAUCUGUAUCAGUUUCAAACAAGUAUGAAAAAGAGAGGGAGAAGCACGCUGCGGAAACGUGCUGUGCUCUGAAAAGUCUUACAGGACYCUUACCAGCAGACAAGGAAGGCGGUAGCUGAGACUGUAAGCAGCGAUAAAAAAGUGCUCUCUGAACGUCAUGCUUUUAGGCUCCAUGAGGAACUAGCAAUGAAAGAAAAAUAACAAGGAAAUUGAAAGUAUUCUGGAAAAUGAAUAAUAAAGUUGGACAAGUGAGUUCCCUGUCA
rnacentral:lncRNA from 1 species